UUAUUUUCUCUUAUUUUCUCUGCUCUCUUUCUCUUCUAAGUGAAAAAUUCUGCAACUGAAAUGAAAAACAACCUACGUUUUAAACGUUUUGCAGACGAUCAAUGGUGGAGAUCAUGGAUUGAGUUGGUUUCUUUUCACUUCCUCGAUUAGGUAUGCAAGAUUUCUCAUCUCUACAACUGAAUCUUUUCUAAAUGGUAUAAAUAUUUCCCAUUACAUAACAAUUACGAACCUAACGAAAAUUCAUAAAACCCAUCCCUACAACUGAAUCUCUUCUAAACAACGAAAAUUCAUAAUACCCAUCCCUGCAACUGAAUCAAUCACGGAGAUGAAGUAUUGAGUUGGUUGUUUUUCACUUCCUCGAUUAGGUAUCCAGAUGAGGAAGUUGGUGAAGUGGCCAUAUGCGUAAGCUUCAUGGUAACAGGGGAUUUUACAGAUCACUAAUAUUGAGAAGAUUAUUAUGAAGUAAAGCUUACAGCGAUAGAACUUUUGGGAAAUCUAUCUGAAGCAAAAUUUGUAAAGCAUAUCAUGAUUUUGUUGAUGUAAGCAAGUCUGUGUGCUCCAUGUCAAACUUAGGUUUGCCGUUCAUCUGUUAACGAAAUCAUGAUAUGAUUUAUUUGUAUUUGCAAUGGAAGACCAACAAGAUUGUAAUUGAGAAAGGGGUCGUGUUCCUAUUAAACAUCAGCGAAAAAUGACAGAGGAGCAGAGAUUGCAACGAAAUGAGUGUAGGCGAAAUCAGUAUAGAGCUAGGCGGCAAAAUGGGCAUGGACAGUUGUAUGUUGCUUUUUCCAGGGGAGUCUCAAGAACCACAACAAAAGUAUUAGUUAAGAAUGGGGCUCUUCCAGAUAUUGCUGGAAGGUGUACCAGAAAUGUUGUUUUUCAAGAGGUCCUGAAAUCAUGUAAUAGUGUUGGGUGAUGUAUUUCUGAUUGAUUUAAUUCUAAAUAAAAAGAAAUAAAUAUUUAAUGUUGGUAUCUUCCUGAGAAA